GGGGGCAUGAGAGAAGCCUCCCACAAGGAUGGUAAAAACAUCAAACCAUCCGAGUGUCCCCUGGGCAACGUCCUUGUAGACGGCCAAUUCUCUCACCAUUAUGGCUACAUCAACAGUAUUCACAGAAUUUUCCAGUUCUAUACAUGCAGGGGUGGUGCUGGGAUAACAUAUGUGUGUGAAAAUAUUACAUUAGUGUUGGCUGAGUUGAUCCUGGUUUUAUAAACCUAGCCUACAAGUCAACAGGUCUAAAUUUUAAUGAUAUCUAAUAGUUCACCCUCUCCUCACUGUAUCAACAGACCUAUAGCAUGAAGUCCUGGCCUUCCAUUGUUUGGUUUAACCAUUCUUCCAUUCCUGCUUAGAAUAGCUGGUAAUUGUCUGCUCCUGUCUGGGGAGAAAUAUGGGUGGCAAGAAGGGGCAAGUGGCAUCAAAACCAAAUAACCUGUUGUAAAGCCACUAGCCUUCCCCUAGUCAUUUGGGGGAAUGUUUUGGGAGCCAUUUCUUCAAAUUUGAGGGAAAAGAAUUGGAGAUUGCUCUGAUUACAUAUCAAGUCGUGAUGGUUUGGGCUGGCACAUCACAGAGUUGCCUAAACUCUUGCUUGUUCUUUUCCAUUCUAGUGAAUCUGGCAUGGGCAGCUGACAUUGAUGUUCCAGUUGACAUUUCUGUAAAUGAAGAGGGAACCCCAAAGGAAAACAAUGCAUCUGAAACCAACCCCAUAGAAGAUUCAGGGUCAAGUUCACCAUCUGCUGCUGAAGGAUCAUCUCCACACAGCAGUAUGUAUAUGGGAUAUGAAAAAUUACGUUAAUUUUUGACAGCAAUGUAAAAUAAUACAAAAACCGAAGAGACAGUGUUGUCCAUAGAUACCUCCAAGAUCAUAUGGCUGGCAUGACUGCAUGGAGUGCCAUUACCUUCUGCCGGAGCGGUACCUAUUGAUCUAUUCACAUUUGCAUGUUUUCAAACUGCUAUGUUGGCAGAAGCUGGCGCUAACAGCGGGAGCUCGCCCCACCCCCCAGAUUUGAGCCACCGACCUUUUUAUCAGCAAGGUCAGCAGCUCAGUGGUUUAACACACUACGCCACCAGGGGUUCUCUUUGGUUAUUAUAAUAAUUCAAAUCUGCUAACUUUAAAAAUAUUUUAAUUUUUAGAUCAAGACCCUUCUGCUGAUGAAGCACCUUCUGAUGAUGGUAUGUAUAGAAGAGUAAAUUGAGCAUAAAUAUUAGAAAGGAGUUUGGAAUAAUACAGACCACAUAGCGAAUACUACACCAAUCCUUUUUCAGCAGUCUCUCAAGACCCCCGACUUCUCCCCCUCAAAAAAAGGAAAAUGAAAAAUGUCACAAAAUGGUCCACUGCUACUCCACUUAGUCACUAAAGGCUUGAGUCUUUCUUUGUUAUUCUUAUUUAUAUGGGAAUUAGAAAUGUUAAAGGAAGAGCAGCAAAGGAGGAUGAGGGGGGUGGGAUCAUAUGAGAUUGAUAUUUAUACAUCGACUAUACAGUAAGAUCAACGCACCAUUCAAUGGAAGAUAAUAAGCCUUUGUAUUUCCAACUAUGGAUAAUAGGCUUCAGGCUCCCUACUAACAUUUUACAAUAUUUUGAUUCUUAGACCAAGCCUCUUAAACAAGCCACCUUCUAAUGAUGGUAGGUAUAUCGCAACAACAUGGAUAUGGAUAUUAGAAAAAUUUAGAACACACAAUGAAGAGAUCCCCCAAUGCUUUCAUGCAGUAUCUGAAGAUCCACAAACCCCCUCUUUUUCAGUUGGAAAAUGCUCAAAGACAAUCCAGUGUCGCUCCAUUCAGAUACUAAAAUAGAUAUAAUAUGAGUCCUAUUGACAUGUAUUUGAUGUAGCUUGGACAGACAUUCCUAAAUUAAGUUGAAUAUAUGUAUAGAAGAUAAUGCUUCAUCUGCUAUUUGCUAAAUAAGAGGUGCAAGGCUUGUGCCCUUCUUGGUAUUUUUUUCAGCUGCAGUAUCUCUUAACCUGAUGCAGCAACUCCAGAAUGUUUGGAGUUAAACUUUGAGACUAAUUGGAGUUAGUCUCCAAUUGGAGUUAGAGUGCCAUAGGUUUCCUAACUCUCCCUGAAUAAUUGCUGUGUGCCUGAGAGUGCAAAAAAGAAGGACAUAUGUUUUGUCAAAGGCUUGGGCUGGAAUCACUGGGUUGCUGUGAGGUUUCCAGGCUGUAUGGCCAAGUUGCAAAUGCAUUCUCUCCUGACGUUUUGUCCACAUCUAUGGCAGACCUCACAACCUCUGAGGAUGUCUGCCAUAGAUGUGGGCGAAACGUUAGGAGAUAAUGCUUCUGGAACAUGGCCAUACAACCCAGAAAACUCACAGCAAUCCAAGAAGGAUCCUGGUUCUGAGAUGGCCAAGAAGUUUUACGGUGGCCAGUGUGGCAAACAGAAUUGUGGAC
rnacentral:lncRNA from 1 species